rnacentral:rRNA from 1 species
UUGAACGCUGGCGGCAUGCUUUACACAUGCAAGUCGAACGGCAGCGCGGGCUUCGGCCUGGCGGCGAGUGGCGACGGGUGAGUAAUAUAUCGGAACGUACCCAAGAGUGGGGGAUAACGUAGCGAAAGUUACGCUAAUACCGCAUACGAUCCACGGAUGAAAGCAGGGGACCUUCGGGCCUUGUGCUCUGGAGCGGCCGAUAUCUGAUUAGCUAGUUGGUAGGGUAAAGGCCUACCAAGGCAUCGAUCAGUAGCUGGUCUGAGAGGACGACCAGCCACACUGGAACUGAGACACGGUCCAGACUCCUACGGGAGGCAGCAGUGGGGAAUUUUGGACAAUGGGGGCAACCCUGAUCCAGCAAUGCCGCGUGAGUGAAGAAGGCCUUCGGGUUGUAAAGCUCUUUUGUCAGGGAAGAAACGGGCGUGGCUAAUAUCCAUGUCUAAUGACGGUACCUGAAGAAUAAGCACCGGCUAACUACGUGCCAGCAGCCGCGGUAAUACGUAGGGUGCAAGCGUUAAUCGGAAUUACUGGGCGUAAAGCGUGCGCAGGCGGUUUUGUAAGUCUGUCGUGAAAUCCCCGGGCUCAACCUGGGAAUUGCGAUGGAGACUGCAAGGCUGGAAUCUGGCAGAGGGGGGUAGAGUUCCACGUGUAGCAGUGAAAUGCGUAGAGAUGUGGAGGAACACCGAUGGCGAAGGCAGCCCCCUGGGUCAAGAUUGACGCUCAUGCACGAAAGCGUGGGGAGCAAACAGGAUUAGAUACCCUGGUAGUCCACGCCCUAAACGAUGUCUACUAGUUGUCGGGUCUUAAUUGACUUGGUAACGCAGCUAACGCGUGAAGUAGACCGCCUGGGGAGUACGGUCGCAAGAUUAAAACUCAAAGGAAUUGACGGGGACCCGCACAAGCGGUGGAUGAUGUGGAUUAAUUCGAUGCAACGCGAAAAACCUUACCUACCCUUGACAUGGAAGGAAUCCCUGAGAGAUUGGGGAGUGCCCGAAGGGAACCUUUACACAGGUGCUGCAUGGCUGUCGUCAGCUCGUGUCGUGAGAUGUUGGGUUAAGUCCCGCAACGAGCGCAACCCUUGUCCAUUAGUUGCUACUGCAAGUGAGCACUCUAAUGAGACUGCCGGUGACAAACCGGAGGAAGGUGGGGAUGACGUCAAGUCCUCAUGGCCCUUAUGGGUAAGGGCUCACACGUCAUACAAUGGCUACGUACAGAGGGUUGCCAACCCGCGAGGGGGAGCCAAUCCCAGAAAGCGCGUCGUAGUCCGGAUUGUAGUCUGCAACUCGACUCCAUGAAGUUGAAUCGCUAGUAAUCGCGGAUCAGCAUGUCGCGGUGAAUACGUUCCCGGGUCCUUGUACACACCGCCCGUCACACCAUGGGAGUGGGUUUACCAGAAGCAGGUUAGCCUAACCGCAAGGAGGGCGCUUACCACGGUAGGCUUCGUGACUGGGGUG